UCAACACUAAAAUCAUAAAGAAUCAGGUUAGUCGGGAGCUGCCAGUUUGGGCAAAGUUCUGAGUGGAAGGCUGUCCUGGAGCUGCUGACUGGGUAGAGCCCCAUGGAGAAAUGCUUUCCCACUUUCUCAGACUGUGGGGACCAGUAGACUACCAUAGACCCUUCCAACCAUGUCACACAUAAAGCUACAAGCUUACUUCUAUGGCCCCAGUUCCUUCAGUCAGUGGGGCAUGGGCCCACAACCAGUUUACCACAAAUCAGACCCUGAGUAACUGUCCACAUUCUGCUCUUACCCUGAAAAAAACCCCACAAACUAAAUGUGCAAUGGCUUAUCUAUCUUUGCCUAGCAGGUAGGGUAUCACUGGGUAGCUUUCAUUUACCACAGGGAUAAAAACAUACAUAUCAGCAAUUGUUGCAGAGCAGAUUACAUGUGUUAAAGCCCUGUCCCCUUUGCCUCACAUUUUGUAUAUGUACCUAUGCCUUUGGUUCUCAUUUAAAAAUGGUUUCUAAUCCCUGUGUUUGUGAAAGAGAAGUUACUAUGACAAAGGUGUAACUGAUGCAUUUAUGUCUGUCUGAGUCUGCAGGCAUUCUGAAAUAAUAGCUCUAAGGUAUAAAUUGCCCUCUGCCUGAGAUCUACUCCUGAAAAACCUCAUCAUUGCCUGCAUUCCAGCAGAGGAUUGUGCAUGACAAAUACAGUGAAUUCAGGCCAGAGCAUACAAGCAGACAGAUGCAGCUGUUGAGGUGAAUAGCAAGGCAGGCAGAUGACUUCUGUUGCUGACAUCAGCCGCUUGAAGGUUGUACACCCUUCAGAUGCACAGCGUUUCCUGCCAAGAAUGAAUAUGCUGCUUACCAAAAGCACAGCAGUAGGGUGGGGUAUAUUGCAAGGGAGCCUAAAAUGAUGAUGUAGUUUAGGGGGAGGAAGCUAGAGAUUACAGAAUAGAAACUUCUGCUAGUGAGGAGUAAAUAUGGUCAGAAAAGCACAAGAAGCUAGUCUGGUUAGUUUAGCUAAAUAUUUCCACACAGACUGACGUUAGACUAAAUAGCAUAUUUGACUAGACUAGACACUAUUUGAGUUUCAGGUCAAAGAUCUCUUUUUAGCAGAGAUGUUCCCUGGCUCAUCUUAUUGCUUCCUUUACACAGAACAUGCUGAAAAGUUUACAUACUGGUAUUACUGGUAUUCCAGUAUAAGGAAUAGCUGAGUUUGAGAGAGAGAGAGAGAGAGAGAGAGAGAGAGAGAGAGAAGUCAUGAACUGGACUAAUAAGUUGCAAACUUUCACUGAUUAUACCAUCACGUGUGGCAGGAAAUAUGGCUGACCAGAAUAAGUAUUUGACCAUUAUAUUAUCCAAAAUAAAAUUUGCUUGCUUACAGUUAACAUCCUCAAAGGCAGAAUAAGUAGCAAGGGAAGAAAAAAAAAUGUAUAAAUUAUUGGUAUUGGUGGAAUUGUUUUCCAUACAGAUGCCAAUAAAGCAAAAAUAUUUUCUCUGUUUUAGAACAGGAUUUCUAACACUCACUUUAACAAACAUAGAAAUAAAGUUAUUUUGGCUCUGUGUUAAUAUUUGAAAGCUCACAUCUUUGAAAAAGAUCAAAACAAAUCUAAAGUGAAGUUAAUUCCAGUCUCUGUUACUGGAUGGAAAACUUCUGCAAAUAUUAAAUGAAUAUACUAAAAAAGCUGAUAAAAAGUGAGAUUGAGAUGCAUGACUAAACUGAGUCAGUUCAGACACCACUUCAGAUGUAUACACAUUUAAAGAUUAUGUUGCACAUUUUCACUUUGCUUUCAUGUAACAGUGAUGAUCUUCUCACACUAGUGAGCUAGAUUAACCCCACCAAGAUAGCCUAAGAAUACUAGGCUUAUAAAGGAAAGAGUUAUUCAUUCUCAUGAUCCAUUCUCAGUUAUAAACUGAAUGUAUUCAUAGCUGUGAGGGAAUACAUAGUAUCAAAGAUUCACAUGACUGUGAAUCUCUGGUAUCUACAAUACUCUCCAAAAGCCAAUUUAACUCGGAAUGACCCUGUGAGUCAAAUACCAACCAACUGAAAGAAUACAAUGCUGCAAGGAUGUCAGGGAAAAUAUGGCUCAAAAAGAGAAAGAUAAAAUAUUCUGAAUAUUUCUGGAAGCUUUGAAAAAUCAGGAAAACACAUUUAGUAUUCAGAGAAUAUUUUUUCCCCAUGGUUUGUUACAGAUUCUAAUAUCUGACUCAGGGUGAUUUCUCGUUGGAUCCAUCCUGUAAUUGAGUUAGAAUAAAAAAGGCCUGCCAUUUGACGAG